rnacentral:rRNA from 1 species
CGACCCCUACGGGAGGCAGCAGUGGGGAAUAUUGCACAAUGGGGGAAACCCUGAUGCAGCGACGCCGCGUGAAGGAAGAAGUAUUUCGGUAUGUAAACUUCUAUCAGCAGGGAAGAAAAUGACGGUACCUGACUAAGAAGCCCCGGCUAACUACGUGCCAGCAGCCGCGGUAAUACGUAGGGGGCAAGCGUUAUCCGGAUUUACUGGGUGUAAAGGGAGCGUAGGCGGCGAUGCAAGUCAGAAGUGAAAGCCCGGGGCUCAACUCCGGGACUGCUUUUGAAACUGUAUAGCUUGAGUACUGGAGG